rnacentral:lncRNA from 1 species
CCUUCACUUACCACAAACAACAGGAUCUCUGUUGCCAUCUGGCCAUUGAGUGAUCCAGUUCCAGAAUCUCAUCCUGAGAGUCGGCUUCCUAGAACGAAUUCCAGUACCUAAGAUUACUGACAUCAGAAACAGCCGCCCAUGUGUUCUGCUUUACUUCUCUGUAGGCGAGCCCUGGUUUUGAAGGGAGAAUCUGCCUAGUCAAGCUCUCCUGUGACCAGUUUAUGGUAGAAGCAUGACUCAAAAGAAAAUCAAGUUAGCCUACAAAUGCCAACGUUUUCUGAUGACAAAAAAAAAGCUACUAGUCUUAAAAACUGAAAGAUACUGAAUUAAACAUAUAUGGCUACAAUACAAAUCAAUUUCAAAUGCUUUAUGUUGGACUGAAAACAGGAGCUAUUCUUCAGCAUCUCUGCUGCUUAAUAUUUACGAGUUGCUAAGAAGACAACAUAUACACUUCAACAUGAAAGAAGACAAGUUUACCGAUCAUCUCUUUUUUUCUUUUCUC